rnacentral:RNase_P_RNA from 1 species
CUUGCAGGAUAUCUUAUCGCGUCUCGCAUUUGCGGGAUGAGGAAAGUCCGGACACCAUAGCGCAGCAUAGCGGGUAACGCCCGUCGCCCAGACAGUCACUGUCAGGGUCGGACAAGUGCAACAGAAAGCAAGUACAGGUAAUGCUGUAGUGAAAUCAGGUAAACUCUAUGCGGUGAAACGCCAAGUAUAUCAACAUUUGAGGGUAGCGCGCCCGAGUUGAAGGGUUGGCGGAUAGAAUGUUGUGGCAACACAAGAUCAAGAUAAAUGAUAAGAGCCCUUUUGGGAUACAGAAUCCGGCUUAUUUCCUGCAUAAAAA